rnacentral:rRNA from 1 species
AGAGUUUGUUCCUGGCUCAGGAUGAACGCUAGCUACAGGCUUAACACAUGCAAGUCGAGGGGCAGCAUGAAAGUUUGCUUGCAAACUUUUGAUGGCGACCGGCGCACGGGUGAGUAACACGUAUCCAACCUGCCUCAUACUCGGGGAUAGCCUUUCGAAAGAAAGAUUAAUACCCGAUGUCAUAGUCCUACCGCAUGAUGGGAUUAUUAAAGAAUUUCGGUAUGGGAUGGGGAUGCGUUCCAUUAGUUAGUUGGCGGGGUAACGGCCCACCAAGACAACGAUGGAUAGGGGUUCUGAGAGGAAGGUCCCCCACAUUGAACUGAGACACGGUCCAAACUCCUACGGGAGGCAGCAGUGAGGAAUAUUGGUCAAUGGACGAGAGUCUGAACCAGCCAAGUAGCGUGAAGGAUGACUGCCCUAUGGGUUGUAAACUUCUUUUAUAUGGGAAUAAAAUGUUCCACGUGUGGGAUUUUGUAUGUACCAUAUGAAUAAGGACCGGCUAACUCCGUGCCAGCAGCCGCGGUAAUACGGAGGAUCCGAGCGUUAUCCGGAUUUAUUGGGUUUAAAGGGAGCGUAGGUGGAUUGUUAAGUCAGUUGUGAAAGUUUGUGGCUCAACCGUAAAAUUGCAGUUGAAACUGGCAGUCUUGAGUACAGUAGAGGUGGGCGGAAUUCGUGGUGUAGCGGUGAAAUGCUUAGAUAUCACGAAGAACUCCGAUUGCGAAGGCAGCUCACUGGACUGCAACUGACACUGAGGCUCGAAAGUGUGGGUAUCAAACAGGAUUAGAUACCCUGGUAGUCCACACAGUAAACGAUGAAUACUCGCUGUUUGCGAUAUACGGCAAGCGGCCAAGCGAAAGCAUUAAGUAUUCCACCUGGGGAGUACGCCGGCAACGGUGAAACUCAAAGGAAUUGACGGGGGCCCGCACAAGCGGAGGAACAUGUGGUUUAAUUCGAUGAUACGCGAGGAACCUUACCCGGGCUUAAAUUGCACCUGAAUAAUGUGGAAACAUGUUAGCCGUAAGGCAGGUGUGAAGGUGCUGCAUGGUUGUCGUCAGCUCGUGCCGUGAGGUGUCGGCUUAAGUGCCAUAACGAGCGCAACCCUUAUCUUCAGUUACUAACAGGUCAUGCUGAGGACUCUGGAGAGACUGCCGUCGUAAGAUGUGAGGAAGGUGGGGAUGACGUCAAAUCAGCACGGCCCUUACGUCCGGGGCUACACACGUGUUACAAUGGGAGGUACAGAAGGCCGCUACCUGGCGACAGGAUGCCAAUCCCCAAAACCUCUCUCAGUUCGGAUCGAAGUCUGCAACCCGACUUCGUGAAGCUGGAUUCGCUAGUAAUCGCGCAUCAGCCAUGGCGCGGUGAAUACGUUCCCGGGCCUUGUACUCACCGCCCGUCA